AAAACUCAAAGAUAUCUAUAAAGAAAAGAAAAUUUGGCUUCUCUAAAGUUUCCUCGGGCCAUCUUAUCUGUACCUGAGUCUCUUGAGAAAAAGAAAAAGGAAAAAAAGAAAAUUGAAUCCACUUUAGUAAUUCCUAACAUGCUCAACCAUGGGUCUUUUCUAAGUGAUAUAAUGAAAGCUUAGCAACUGCCCAGAUCAUUUAAGGAGAUGCAAGAAAUUUGCCUCUGUCUUUCAGGAAAAUAGAAAAUCUAGUCCAUAUUCCAUCAAGAAAAAUAUUCUUAACAUAUCUCAUUGGAAGUCAUAAAUAUAUAAGCACCAUAAAAUGUGUUUAAUGUUUGUUUCCUACAUGGGGAGUGUGGAGGAAGCUCUUAUUUUAACUUAUGAACCCCAAAGAGAAUUUUUAUUCCUAGGUGAGAAUACGCCCAAAUCAAUAAAUAUGUGUACAGAAUAGCACAUUUAAGAUUUUAUUUUUCCUAAUUUUUAGUAACAUCAUUUUUCUGAAUUGCUUCUGUGAUUAACUAGUAUACAUUUAACAUCUAAAAACAAAAGGCAGACCAGAAAAAUAUGACUGCUAUAAAAUGCUAAAAUGUGAUUUGUAGUAUGAAAGCCACAAUACCCCUUUCACAAAUAUUUGCACUGAAUCUACUGUAUAUGGGUGAGUAAAAUUUUGGAAAUAUUGGCACCUGAUAAUGUGAAAUAAAAUUAUGAAAUUUU
rnacentral:lncRNA from 1 species